UGAGCCACGAGCUCCUCAAAAUGUGGAACAUCCUGAGAAACACUGAACACAUACUGCCUCUGAUUUUACAAGAGGACACUGAGGCUGGAGGAUGAACCGAGCGGCCAAGGUCGUGGUGCCGGUGCUGCUGGGACAAUCAGCAACCAGCCACCAUUUGGAGAGCACAUGCUCACUUUCCUCGACAGGAAGUGAACAUUUAAACUACUUUGACCAAGAAUGUAAAGCCAGGGAUUGAAAUAACCCACUUAGAGCCAGCAGAGCCUUUCAGGGCUUUCUCUUUUUCCCAUGUAGUCAAUAUUUUGGAUUCUGCAAACAAAAAUAUUCUGGAACAGGAGAUCUGGUUUGAUUGACACAACUGUGCUGGUAAUAGGAGAACUUGGAGAGCUGAGUUCCUCACCAUCCUCCCCUCCAUGCAUCUCUUCCAGGCCUUCGACCAGCUUCCGAGAGAGAGCCGUGGGUCAGCAGUAGGAGGAUCAGGACCGCUCCAGUCAAACAGGGAGCCCUGGAGCCUGCCUCCCAGGGUCGGGGAGAGACAAGCUGGCAGAGCCUGUGUGUGCAUGAUGUGUUGAAGACAGAGUGGUCUCAGUAUAAGUUGAGAUAAUCUGCUGUGAAGAACAACACACAAAGGUGCCAGUAGCUACAGAAGGACAUGUGGCACCUCGGAGCGCCUCACAUCAGCGUUCAUCACGAAGAUGCUGAGAGAAGAAGAUGGAUGGAAAAGACGUAUUCAGACAAAAUUAACUAUAAAAUUUACUUAUAAUUUAAUUUCUUCACUAAGAAAUGUCUGUUGUUUUCACAAGGGAAAAUGUCUUCAGUGGAAUCAAAAGGCUGCAGAAACAAGGGGUUGAAGUGAUGUCCAUGAUCUGGAAUAAUCAGUCCAUUUUUAGUUCCUGGUUCUGAAUGCCCCCAACCCCCUUCUUAACCUCCCAUGCAGGAGGAUUUACUGGUUCCCUGAUCCCAUAACUUAACUUUCUUCCUCUCUUUUUCUUUUGGAUUAUGGAUGUCUACUUGAGUUAGGCUGUAAUAACAUAACGUAUCACUGUCGACCAUUCAGUGCUAUGUUUUGAGCCUUUUGACUAAAUAGAAUAAAUUAGUGUCUUAUUUUAAUAAUGGUGUCAGUUGAGAAGGGUAAGCUUAUGUAAAGUAAGAGAUAAGCUGCACAGUUAGGGAAAAGACUGAAUAAAAAUGACACUUGUCAAAAGAAGUUGCUGAAUUUUCUGCCACUCUUGCCCUGGGCCAAGUUUCCCCCAUGCCCGGAUCUACCUGCAGGCAGGUUUCAAUAUCCUCAACAGGAAAACCUAUCAUAUUUUCAGCCCUCCACCUUUCUGUAGUUCUUAGGGGUUCUUAGGGACAAAAUGGCCAUUCCUCAUUCAUUACUUGAAGUGUUGCAAGCUCUUCUUCCUGGAAGAUCUUACCUCCUGCUCAGCCCUUUCUUUAAAUUUCCUGCCAAAGUUAUUUUAAGCACCCCUCCCUCGGUUUAUUCUCUCCUAGGGAAACUUCAGUGACUCUGCAAGGAAGCCCGAGGGCUUUACCUUCUAUUCCAAAGGCCACCACUUUACUCAUCUUCCCACUCAGCCCCCUGUGCUCCCAGUCAGAUUUUUUCCAGCCACACCUCAUCUCAUGGCCUUCCAGUCACUCUUUCCCUAUUCCCACACUUCCAGAAACCUCCAGUUUCUUUCCAAGGCCUUUCCCAAAUGUUUAGGAGAAGAAUGGGUCUCUCUCCUGGAAAGCCAUCCUCACAGUGGCUCAUUUUGCCACUCAUUAAUCUUUACCUAAUGAGAAUGAUAAUAAUAACGGUAACAAUAAUAGCAAUAGCUAACAUGCCUAACACUUUUUAGGUGCUUGUCACAGUCCAAAGCAUUUUACAUAAACCAGCUGAUUUAAUUCUGGCCAAAAUCCUUUGCAG